AGUUUGUGUGUACCUCGAUUUUUUUCUAUAUACUUUAUAUGUAUAUAUAGAGCCCAUUUGGCUUAUAAGCUGUUUUUAGCUUUUUUUGAGUGUUUGGUAAGCUGUUUUCAGUUUUUUUGAGUGUUUGGCUAGCCAGCUUAUAAGUCAUUUUGUGCUUAAAAUAAGCCCCAAAAAAUUAGUUGGGUAGCCCAAUUUUUUUUUUUUUUUUUUUAGCUUAUAAGCUGUUUUCUGCUUUUUUUUAAGCUAAGCAAUAAGAUAAAUGAUAAGGUAGAUGAUACUCCCUCCGUCCCAAAAAGACUAUCUUAGUUUGACUUGGUACGGAGUUUAAGAAAUAAAGGAAUGGUACGGAGUUUAAGAAAUAAAGGAAGACUUUUGAAAUGUGUGGUCCAAAACAAGCCUUAGAUAUUUGUGUGGCUGUAAAUCAUCUCAUCAAGUUAAAUUGUUUCUAAAUAUAGAAAUGUGUCAAUCUUUUUUUAACAAACUAAUAAGGAAAGUAACACAAUUUUUUUGGAACAGAGGGAGUAGUAGCUAAGGAUAUGGUAAAAUUGUUACAAAUUUGUAUUUAAUUACCUUAGACUUUUUUGUUGAUAAUUUAUUUUGAUAACCGUGGUCUUCGGGCCAGUUUGCACAUACCUCGACUAAUUCCAAGGGUAUCUAUUAUAGUGUAUGCUCGUUGUGGAUGGAUUAAAUUACCAUCGACAUUUUUAUCCUUGGUGUACAUAGUAUGUAUAGUGGUGGAGCUAGAGGGAAGGGGGUUCAUCCGAACCCCCGUUGCCGAGAAAAAACAUUGUGUACACAAGAUCAAUUUUUUUUGUUUUAUGUAGAUAGAGUAUAUGAUGAACCUUAGUGAAACUCUGCCACUGAUAGUAUAGUGUAUGCUUGCUCUGUCAGGAUAGAUAUUGCUCCCUCCAUAGGACUAUGCAGAUACCAUAUAUUGAGUUUGGAUGGAAAGAUUUUGAGUACCAUGAAUUGUAUUAGUUUGUAGUUGAUGGUGUUUCAUGUUUUUUUACAACCGUGGUGGUCAGACAGCUUGCGUUCACCUCGACUAAUUUGCGCUACCUCCCACUAGCACACAACACAACUAAGCAUGAUGUUUCAUUGAUGGGGGCAAAUUUUGCCUUUUUAUCACUUAGGUAGUACCUUUGUUGCAAUAUUGUGUUUACCUUUUAGGGUGUCAUGAGCUAUACUUUGUCAGGAUAAGGUUGCAUUUAAUGUAAGGGCGAAUGUUGUGCUCAGUCGUGAAAGGUAAAGGGGGGUUCGGCAAAGGAAAUGGUGAUUUACGAACAACUUUUACGGACCGUAUUCCACUAUCAGUUCUUAGCCCAUUUUUAUUCUCCUUGGUGAUUGAUGGAUUGACGCGGCAUUCCUCAGAAUAACCACAAACACCAGUACAACCAUCAACUCCGUAACCUCAAGUCAAAUUUUUCUUUUGUGGUAUUUCUACUAAGUUGAGUACCCUUUUCAACUUGGUGUAGUUGUUUUGGAGGAAGGAGCCCUUGUUUCAUCAAUUUGAUCAUAUAUCCAAGGCUCUUAUCCUACAUCCUUUCAUAAGCCAAACAUAUAACUGAUCCUAUGAGUGAUUCUAUGUGAUAAAUCAACAGGUAUAAGGCAAUCAUAAGAAAUAAAGUCAUAAUUGAUUUUAUGUAACACAUGAGUUAUUUAUGAACGAAUAUUUUGUGGAAGUGUGGUAUCGUCGCUGGGUCCUCCGAAGGGUCGGUGUCAUAACUGUCUUCCCUGGGAGCCUCUGCUCUGGGGAUCAAAAACUACAAGUGCGGUUGUAUGCAAUAUAUCAUAUCUCAGACUAACAUCUGAAACUCUGUUCUCAUAAGCAAUGGUUUAGCUGUAUUAUGGAGGCAGCCCCCACACACCCCAACUCCCACCCCGCAACAAUUUACAACCCAAACCUUCAGAGGGCACAUGUAGAAUUUCACCCAACUUCGGAGCAUUCGACCCAAUUUAAACUCCCAGCACAGUGCUAGUAAUUCUACAUUUCAAGUGUCUAAGCCUUUCAAUGCCUUGAACAACAUGAAUAUAUCAUGGAACUUACCUUGGAUGAGAAUUUCUGUAAUAUGUGAUUAAGUGUGUUAUGCUAUUAAUAGUGAAUCUAGUUGAUAAAUGGAAGGAUAAAAUGGACCAACGGUUGUUUUUGAAGUUAGAUUUGAGUUUGUCGUGGUUGGAAACAUCUGGAAACGAAAUUUGAAGUCAUUUGGGUAAUUUCCGAAAUUCUAAAUUUACCCUCGGCCUUCCCCGAUGUCUUAACGUUAAUGAUUCCAUAACCAACAUAGUCAUAUUCACUAAUAUAUAUAUAUAUAUAUAUAUGGGGUUAUGUGAAAAGGGCGAGGCGUUAUAUACGCAUAGCCACCUGAUCGGUUGGUAUAUUAUGAUAUCGUUCUUUAAAAAUUCAAGCCCAAUUCUAUUUUUCAUGACAAGUUGACAGAAUAACGGGAGCAAUGAGCUUCCCUCAAUAUUUGGUGGCGUAAACCUGCCACAUCGGGAACGCAUAAUCUGCCUUGACAUCGGAGAACUCCGUCUCCUGAAAUAUCGAAUGAUGACUCCUAAAAGGACUUAUUUUCUGAAGUAUGGAUCAAUUAAAUAUGACAAAACGAAAUAACUGAUUCAGAGAAAGUUGGAGCUGAUGGCAUUCGGGUAGACUCACAGAAGAUUGAGGAGGUGAAGACUUGGCCUAGACCUACGACGCCUACCGAGGUGCGUAGUUUUCUGGCCAUGUUUACAAGUCAUUUCGGGAAAUCAUGAUUUCAAGACAAGUACAAUGUUAUGACCUAGUUUUUUGUUGUGUGUGCAAUAUUUGGGGAGCCCCUUAUAUUCUAGUUUUUGGAAAAAGCCUUUUAACAUGACAAACAAAAGGAAAAGAAAAGAUAGAUAAUUUGACACAACUUAAGAUUCAAUUUAGCAACCAAAGUUAUAGACCUCCAUUGGAAAUUGUGAGGCCACAGAUGAGUUCGUAGAGCGUUUUUAUGUGCGUUUGCCUGUUUAUUUUGGUCCAAUUUAACCCUAGAAACUGGUGAAACGGGCCCACAAGGGCGAAACGUCAUGAGAGGAAACUAAUCGUAUACCUGUAAUGACAGGGGUGACAACUCAAGAUCCUGCCGACCAGCAAAUGCAUAAAAGAAAAGUAAAAGAACAAAAUCACGAUGUAAUAACUCGCUUUGAUAUCCACGUGGCCGCCCUAACAGCAGCCGUAUCAGCCUCCAUGCGCUCUAAAGUACCUGGGCCCGGUGGCCUUGACUGACUUGAACCUCUGUUCAUUUGCGAACCCGAAGCCUUAGAGCUCAGAAUGCGGCUCAAUCUCAGUCCUCCCACUCAGUGCCUAUUUCUUAGGAGCAUGAGGGAGCCUCAGCCCCAGCUCCAGCUCCUCCACCGGAUGCGUCGGGCCUUCAAGGCGGUCACCGCGACUCUUCCGCCGCGAUGACUUAGCCAACGACACGUGCCCUUGGGGGCCUCACAAUACGGCCCGUAUCUUGUUGGUCGUAAAAGGCAAGGAACAUUCUGUUUUGGGCAUCACUAAAUACGGACAUGAAAUACGGACCGUAAACCACAAUACGGACCAUAUUUUUUCUAGUUUAGGGUUUUAAUUUUCUCCCCCAAUUUCUGUGUAUGAAAUUUUAGGGUUAGGAAUGGCGAACAACUUGUUGAAUAAGCUGUGUAUGGACGAAGAAGAUCCUAUGCUCAAACACUUCAAUAAUUCCAUCAUUAUUCAGUCCUCUAUACUGCUUUUCAAAUAUUAAGUUCAUUUUCCCCGAGAGAUUGAUUAACUCCUAAAGCAAGGCUAACUAGCUAUGCGGAGGUAUCCCUUCGCGGCCAGCUUCUUAGAGGGACUACGGCCUUUUAGGCCGCGGAAGUUUGAGGCAAUAACAGGUGUGCAGGUAGGCCUUAGUAGAGUUUCAGAUUUAGAGUGGUUCGCUCGGGGCCUAGUUUAGCAUCGAGUGGCGUGACGGUAGGUCCAACUCGUAAGCAACCCGGCCUACCCUAUGGAUAAUCUGAUAAGGCUCAAGCCUUUAACAUUCGAGGACGAAUGUUCCUAAGGGGGGUAGAAUGUUACACCUCGAAAAUUUUCAGAAAUUACACGUUAAAUAUGAAAACGCAUUUAAAUCAGUAAGUAUGAACCUGAAUAAGGAAAAAAGGAAAUAAAAAGAAUAAUGAGAAGGAGAAAAAAAUGGUAACCCGACCUCAAAUCUAUUUUAGAAAACCACUUGGCACCUUGGAAUGCGGUUCGUAUACUUCAAUCGUAUUUAAGGAUUAGUCCGAGAGGCUGAAUACUCAACUUUGGACCCUACUUUUUACGAGCUGAUAUACGGUCCGUAAAGUGAAAUCUUUAAGUUUUGUCCUUCGGCUAAACCCAUGCGAAUUGAUCCUUCUUUUGGGGUGGUCUUUAAAUUUUGCCCCUCAAGAAGUAUGUGUCGAGAGAUUCAUCAUACCAGGCUGAGUUAACAGUAUCUGGGCGGUUGGGAAGUAGCAGGUAUCAGGUGAAAUAGUUGAGGUGCAUGCUAGCUGCUUGAACACCACCGUUGCUUAAACAAAAGAAGAUUUUUAGCGUGCUUUUCUAUGCAAAUGUUAUGUCGGGUUAAUCUCUUAGAUUGUCAGAGUUGAGUUAUACAUGUGAAGUAUGUGUAAAGAGUUUUUAACAUACUAGGCGGAGUUUUCCAGUAUUUGUGCUCUUGGAAGUUAGCAGGUAUCGGGUGAAAUAGUCGAGGUCUAUAUUGCUCGGACUCUUCAAAAACGUCGAUGUAUGCUUGUCGGAUCCUUCAAAAGUAGUGUAUUUUUAGAGGAUCCGACACGGGUAUAACAACAUUUUUGGAAAGUCCGCGCAACAUAGGCUGAGGUGCAUGCUAGCUGCCUGAAUACCACCAGUAUUAAAAACAAAAAAGAAGGAUCUGAACCCCGAAAUCACGAAAACAGGGAACAUAGACAGAAUCGCAGAAGUAAUACUGAAGAUGAAGAGGAGAAUGAUGGAGUGGAAGCACAUAGAUGCUAAGUUUUUUGGAAAGUUGCUUCUUGAACUUAUGGAGGAUUGAAUCAAUGACGCGUAUGUGAAUUUCGUCGUGUAAAAAAAAAAAUCAACUCUGCAGUUUCCUUGAUGUUCCUCUAGUGUAGUUUCUUCCCAAAUUAAUGAUUUGGAGAUGAUCAUAUGUAUGUACAAAUAUAAUUGUGUACCCGCUCUAGCGGGUUGCAAGCAUAAAUUUUGCCUUAAAACUAUGUAUUAUACAUGGAAAGGUUUCACACUUUCCCUCGAUCAUGACUAGUUUUUGAUGCAUAGUCUCUAAAUUGAAGAAUGCAUCUCUGUGAUUCAAAUGUUUAGUUGGCGAAAUGGACAUGUAACAUUUCAAGUUUUCGAUUAACGGGUGUGAAUGAAUUUAGUGACGUUUUGUUUGUUUA